rnacentral:rRNA from 1 species
CCUACGGGUGGCAGCAGUGGGGAAUAUUGGGCAAUGGGCGCAAGCCUGACCCAGCAACGCCGCGUGAAGGAAGAAGGCCUUCGGGUUGUAAACUUCUUUUGUCAGGGACGAAGAAAGUGACGGUACCUGACGAAUAAGCCACGGCUAAGUACGUGCCAGCAGUCGCGGCAAUACGGAGGUGGCAAGCGUUAUCCGGAUUUACUGGGUGUAAAGGGCGUGUAGGCGGGAGAGCAAGUCAGACGUGAAAUUCCAGGGCUCAACCCUGGAACUGCGUUUGAAACUGUUCUUCUUGAGUGAUGGAGAGGCAGGCGGAAUUCCGGGUGGAGCGGUGAAAUGCGUAGAUAUACGGAGGAACACCAGUGGCGAAGGCGGCCUGCUGGACAUUAACUGACGCUGAGGCGCGAAAGCGUGGGGAGCAAACAGGAUUAGAUACCCCUGUAGUC